AAAUUCUUCUUAAUUAAUUAUUUAUUAAUGAUUAACGCGACAUAUGUUCUAAUGCAUCAAUGACGCCAUAUUGAAAAUUUAUUAAUUACUCGUUUUCUAAUUAAAUAUUCUGCACUUUCAAGCUUGAAUCUUGAAGCUAGAACUUCAGACAAGUUUCUUAUAUCAAUUUGAACUUGAAAUUCUUCUUCAUUAAUUAUUUAUUAAUGAUUAAUGCAUCAUAUCGAUAGAUAUCAUUAGCAUUCAUUGGGUUUUUUGUAAUUUUUUGUUGAUAUGAGAUUUUUUUCUAAAUAUGAUUAUAUACAUUUAAAAAGUUAAUUCCUUCUUUAUCUUCACAUAUAAAUUUUAUUUAUAAUUUCACGAAUAUUUAAAUGAAUAAAUUAAUUGUUUAUAAUAUGGAGAUUUGUGAGUGCGACUUUCUGUAUAAUAAUCGUUAAUAAAUAAUUAAUUAAGAAGAAUUUCAGAUUCAAAUUGAUAUAAGAAACUUGUCUGAAGUUCUAGCUUCAAGAUUCAAGCUUGAAAGUACAGAAUAUUUAAUUAGAAAACGAGUAAUUAAUAAAUUUUCAAUAUGGCGUCAUUGAUGCAUUAGAACAUAUGUCGCGUUAAUCGUUAAUAAAUAAUUAAUUAAGAAGAAUUUUGCAUUAAAAUUGUUACAGGAAACUUGUUUGAAGUUCUAGCUUCAAGAUUCAAGCUUAAAAGUGCAGAAUAUUUAAUUAGAAAAUGAGUAAUUAAUGAAUUUUCAAUAUGGUGUCUUUUGAUUGGCGGGAAAUACUCUCUGUCCUUUUCGCACAAUGUUGCUUUCUUUGUCUGUGACGUCACGCGAAUUCGCAUACCUCCUUGCACAUUCUGCUAUGCUAAUAACAAGUCGGAGCUUCGGUGAUCCAAACGCGAGAUGGCGUUGAUCACCAAAAUUUUUUAAUCGUCCGUAACUAACUUAUACACGCAAUAUAUUUUGUUAGAUAUUUAUAGGAUCAAAGAAAGUAGUACGAUGAACGAAUUAUAAUUUUAUUAAUUAUUUAUAUGGAAGCGUAUAAUAGCGUAAAGUGGAAAAUAAAUGAAAAAUAUUUUUGAAAGAAUAAAUUUAUUUGAAAAUGUAUACAUAUGUUAUACAUAUGUAAGUAAAUCAUUAUAUAUGUUAAUAAUAUAUUACUUUUAGGUUAGUUCUUAAUCGUACAAUUAGAAUUAAUUUUUUAUUACAAAUAAAUUAUAUACAUUUGUAUGAUAAUUAUCAAUUUAUUAUUAUUAUCUUGCUUCAGGUUGCAAAAUAGCUUUUCAUAUGUUAAAAACUAAUACAAUAGAAUGGAGUGAUUUAUGUUAAUAUUUUAAACUAUAAAUAAUGAAUAGGUAAAAAUUGAGAAACAAUUGAAUUGUUCUGGAUUAUAUUUCUAUAAUAAUUUCGAAACUUUAAUCUUUAAAUUAAUUUAUUUAAAAAUAUGAAUAGGAGAAGUUAUCAGAAUAUAUAAAAUCAAUCUUUUACAUCUUAUAUCUAGCAUAGUAGAUACAUAAUCCACAAAAUUAAUAUAAGAUUAUAAAAGUGUUUUUGUAUUUUUAUAUUCACUUCUGAAAAAGAAAUAUCAUUUUCUUUAGUUUUUAAAUGUUUAUAAUCAUAUAUAAUGGUAUAAAAAAAUAUUAUUAUAUAUAAGACACAUAUAUAAAUACAUGUGUAAGAAAUAGAUAAUAUAAGUAAAAAAAAUCAGAGAAGGAAGGAAUAUACAUAAAUAUUUCAUCUAUGUAAAUCAUGUAAGAUAUUAAAUACAAAGAUAUCUAUAUUCAUAAACAAUUAACGAAUAAUAAAAAUAAAUAAUAUAAAAACGAACAAUAAAACUAAAAACUAAAUAAGACAAGAAUAAUACUUAUAGUAUACAAUUCUCCACAGCAGCCACUCAAGAAUUGGUCAUUUUUUAAUGUCUGGAACGCAUUCUACUUUAAAAAAACUUAUGAGCCAACUUGAAUUAGGGUAUCCAUCGAGAAGAAAAAUCCUUUUCUCUUCUUUCGCGGUUCUAUCGUCCGUGCUUAAAGUCCGCAGUUUCCACAGGAACGAAUUCGUGGGAUACCGCAAAUCUUGAUGUUCCUCGUGCUAACACACAUUCAGCGAACAUCUUCGAUUUCCCGUAAUCUGUGAAUCGACAGCUGAGCGAGAUACAGUUUCUUGGAUUAGUUACUACAUGGAAUAAUCAAUGAAGUUAAUGGUGUGUUAUUCAAAGACCGCCAAAAAUGGAUUUGAUUUCUUGCUGCAAAAUCUACGAUUUUUCUUGAACGAUUUAUCAGAUUUAUCAGGCGUCGUUUUACAUAUAAAAAAGUUAAAAAAUACAUAUAAAAAAAGGAGAAAGAAAAUUUAUGCAUUUUGUAUUAAGAUGAAUUAAUCUCGACUUUCUAAAUUUGGUAUCCCAUCAUUCUUUUCUCGUAUUACAAAUUUAUGGUGGAGUGCAAUUUUUCUUCCUGCAAUGCAUCAGUCGUUGAAUUGUUUUUCAAACGUUCCGCAAACUUCAAUGGAACUUUUUUAGAGGAUUUAUUCCAGUCGGAGAUAAAAGUUGCUCUAAAUGGAAAUCUCAAGAGAUUGCGAUAGUUUCUCGAGGAAGAUUCGAAAGGAUAAGAAAAUUUUUGCAAUUAAGAUUUUUUUAAUCGAAGAUCUUAUUGAAAGAUACAUACGUCGAUUAAAGUUAUAGAGAUAUAGAAAAUGUUUCACUUCGAACUUUUAACUUGAUCGAACAUCAAAUGAUUCGUUAAAUUCUGAUCUAAUAAUUAUAAUUCAAAACCGUAAUUGAAAUUAAAUAAAAAUAUUUAUAAAAAUAAUAGAUACAUUUGAAUAUUGAGAAUAUAGAGAGUAACUUUGAAAAAUAAUUUGAAAUGAAUCUAUAUCAUGUUAUAAAUUAAGCUGUAUGUAAUUAACUCAGAUUACAAUUUACGAUUAACGAAAAAAGAAUCAACCUAGAAUCAACUCUAAAUUCAUGGAAUUGGUCUCUUUAAAAUCCUGCCUUCCUUCCCAGAGUAGUCAAGAUUUAAGUGGUAGGUCAUGGACGGCGCCCUUCGAUUAUCAGCCCAAUCGAAUGCUUUUACCAAAGAGGUUACUCAGAUCCGAUCAUCGAUCCUUUGCCACCCUCAUCCAAUGAACAUUUCUAAAGCUCUGCACGUGACACAUGAAUAACCAUCAGCCACAAGGUGAUACUCCUGGACCACAAGCUGAUUACGUGCUAUCGUAUCCUCGAAAGUGUUUAAAUAAGAGAAUUUUUAGAUUAGAAUGAGAAUUUUUAAUUUUUUUUUUAUCUUUCUUUUACAUUCGGAUUAAAAUUAAUAUUUUACAUAUAUUUAGUCAAUGAUAUAUAUCUGAUAAUAAUUAAAAUAUAAUUAAGCAUAUAACUAAAGGAUCUAACUAAAGGAUGAUAGAUUUAUUCUGAUAAUUUUUAAUUAUUAUUAUCUAUAAUAUAUGUAAAAAAAAUUUUGCAUCGAUAUAAAUUGAAUGAACUACUAAUAACUCGAUAAUUAUUGAUUAUUGUAUGAAAAUAUAUAUAUUUCUUUAAUUAAUUUUUUUUUUAAUUUUAAGAUUUUUUUGCUAUAAAGUUUUCAAUGAUCAUAUAAAAAAAAAUAAUCGUAUUAUACAUUCUAUACUUACAUUACAUGUUAUUAUAUUAAUUUUCAUAUGAUAAAUAAUGAAAACAAUUAUUUUAAAAAAUUAUUUAAUUUCCAAAUCUAAAUUAUUUUAAAUUUCUUUAAAAAAAAUCCAGUUAUCAAAAUAAAUUUGUCUCUCUAUCAAUUCA